UGCUCCUACGGGACGCAGCAGUGGGGAAUAUUGCACAAUGGGGGAAACCCUGAUGCAGCGACGCCGCGUGAAGGAAGAAGUAUUUCGGUAUGUGAACGUCUAUCAGCAGGGAAGAAAAUGACGGUACCUGACUAAGAAGCCCCGGCUAACUACGUGCCAGCAGCCGCGGUAAUACGUAGGGGGCAAGCGUUAUUCGGAUUUACUGGGUGUAAAGGGAGCGUAGGCGGUUUAGCAAGUCAGAAGUGAAAGCCCGGGGCUCAACUCCGGGACUGCUUUUGAAACUGUUGAACUAGAUUGCAGGUGAG
rnacentral:rRNA from 1 species